rnacentral:rRNA from 1 species
GACGAACGCUGGCGGCGUGCUUAACACAUGCAAGUCGAACGGAAAGGCCUCUUUCGGGGGGUACUCGAGUGGCGAACGGGUGGAGUAACACGUGAGUAACCUGCCCUUGACUUUGGGAUAACUUCAGGAAACUGGGGCUAAUACCGGAUAGGAGCUCCUGCUGCAUGGUGGGGGUUGGAAAGUUUCGGCGGUUGGGGAUGGACUCGCGGCUUAUCAGCUUGUUGGUGGGGUAGUGGCUUACCAAGGCUUUGACGGGUAGCCGGCCUGAGAGGGUGACCGGCCACAUUGGGACUGAGAUACGGCCCAGACUCCUACGGGAGGAAGCAGUGGGGAAUAUUGCACAAUGGGUGGAAGCCUGAUGCAGCAACGCCGUGUGCGGGAUGACGGCCUUCGGUUGGUAAACCGUA